rnacentral:misc_RNA from 1 species
UUUCCGUAGGUGAACCUGCGGAAGGAUCAUUCAUAAUAAGUGUUUUAUGGCACUUUUUUAAAUCCAUAUCCACCUUGUGUGCAAUGUCAGGGUUGAUUUUUCUCUCGAGAGGAUCAACCCCAAACAUUAACUAUAUCUCAACUCUUUGUCUGAAAAAUAUUAUGAAUAAAACAAUUCAAAAUACAACUUUCAACAACGGAUCUCUUGGCUCUC